AAAAAACCCAUCAAAAGAGAUUUUCUAUGAUUCAUUCAUAACAAUAGAGGGAUAGAUAUUCACAUAAACUCUCACAGAACCUCAAAAAAAAUCCUCACUCUCUCAACACACACAGAGAUGACAUCACAGUCACUGACACACACAGAGCCCACCGAAAAUGCACACACACAACACUACUCACAGAGAGAUGGUGAGAGGGAGAAAGAUUUCGGUGAGAGGUGGAGGUGAUUAAGAGAAGAAAAUAGGUGAAAAAUAUGAAAUAUUGAUGGAGAUUGAAUUCUGCGGCAAAAAUAUCGA
rnacentral:lncRNA from 1 species